rnacentral:snoRNA from 1 species
GGCAAGUGAUGAAAACUGCCUAUGUAAGAGGUUGUUGACUGCUUUUCUAAACCAGAGUAAAAUUUUUGUCUGAAAUCUUGGUGGACAUAUCUUAGUUUGUAUGUCUGCUGUAAGGCCGGACAUAUACAGGGGGCGCUGUCAUUCCAUAUGGCUGACUCAAGACAUAGUCUGCUGUGGAUGAUGGAGCACAAAGUUGGGGUCAGGGAUUGUUAUGGGAUGCAUUGUGGGAAGGGUGUUAAUACAAGUAGUCAAUGGUCUAUGAGCUCUGUCUUUAGUAAUCUGAUGCCA